rnacentral:rRNA from 1 species
AACGAACGCUGGCGGCAGGCUUAACACAUGCAAGUCGAGCGAGACCUUCGGGUCUAGCGGCGGACGGGUGAGUAACGCGUGGGAACGUGCCCUUCUCUACGGAAUAGCCCCGGGAAACUGGGAGUAAUACCGUAUACGCCCUUUGGGGGAAAGAUUUAUCGGAGAAGGAUCGGCCCGCGUUGGAUUAGGUAGUUGGUGGGGUAAUGGCCCACCAAGCCGACGAUCCAUAGCUGGUUUGAGAGGAUGAUCAGCCACACUGGGACUGAGACACGGCCCAGACUCCUACGGGAAGCAGCAGUGGGGAAUCUUAGACAAUGGGGGCAACCCUGAUCUAGCCAUGCCGCGUGAGUGAUGAAGGCCUUAGGGUUGUAAAGCUCUUUCAGCUGGGAAGAUAAUGACGGUACCAGCAGAAGAAGCCCCGGCUAACUCCGUG